CUACGGGUUGCAGCAGUGGGGAAUAUUGCACAAUGGGCGCAAGCCUGAUGCAGCCAUGCCGCGUGUAUGAAGAAGGCCUUCGGGUUGUAAAGUACUUUCAGCGGGGAGGAAGGGAGUAAAGUUAAUACCUUUGCUCAUUGACGUUACCCGCAGAAGAAGCACCGGCUAACUCCGUGCCAGCAGCCGCGGUAAUACGGAGGGUGCAAGCGUUAAUCGGAAUUACUGGGCGUAACGCGCACGCAGGCGGUUUGUUAAGUCCGAUGUGAAAUCCCCGGGCUCAACCUGGGAACUGCAUCUGAUACUGGCAAGCUUGAGUCUCGUAGAGGGGGGUAGAAUUCCAGGUGUAGCGGUGAAAUGCGUAGAGAUCUGGAGGAAUACCGGUGGCGAAGGCGGCCCCCUGGACGAAGACUGACGCUCAGGUGCGAAAGCGUGGGGAGCAAACAGGAUUAGAUACCCUUGUAGUC
rnacentral:rRNA from 1 species